rnacentral:rRNA from 1 species
AACGUAGGAGACAAACGUUAUCCGGAGUUACUGGGCGUAAAGGGCGUGCAGGUGGUCUGUUAAGUCUGGCGUGAAAGCUCUCGGCUAAACCGGGAGAGGUCGUUGGAUACUGGCGGACUAGAGGACGGUAGAGGCGUGUGGAAUUCCGGGUGUAGUGGUGAAAUGCGUAGAGAUCCGGAGGAACACCAGUGGCGAAGGCGACACGCUGGCCGUACCGUGACGCUGAGGAGCGAAAGCA